rnacentral:lncRNA from 10 species
GAUGAAACUGACAAAGGCGAGAGCGCGCAGCAGCCCACAGCAGCCGAGUUCGCGCCGCCGGUAGGUGCUGCCAUGCCAGGGGGCGGGAUCGUGGAGCGCCUCGCAGAACCGCACGAAAGCAAAAACAAAGCCAUCUCUCCGGAGCAGAAAUAGAACAGACGUGGCCGGGGAAAGCCAAAUAUUUGUGAGAUGAUGUGAACAAAGGGGGAAAAGUCAAUCCAGGGAAGUUUGAGUUUCUGGUUGGAGGCUUCAGCGGCUCUGAUCGCUGGAUACUUUAAGAGAACAUCCUUUGCCCCCGCUCUCCCUCUCUCCCCGAAGAAAAAUAAAUCCUUGGCAAAAUGAGACUUGACGGCAUGAAAAGAAGGUCUCCAGACUGUCCCAGCUGGCGCGGGCGGGGCCGGGGCCGAGGUGCCGCUUGGUGACACUGCAGCCGCGGCUCAGCACUGUCACCCAGAAAGGCCCGCCGACGUCUGUAUGCAGGGAACGUGGCUCUUAGCAGAGCCUGGACAGGCGCAGGGCCAAGGAAGUCUUUGUUUUUGUUUCUUUCUCUAGCCCUUCCUGCCAAUACAUCAGGGAUAUAACUCCUUGGUGUUUCUGCCUUACAAUCGCUCCUUAUACCCCACCCAGAUCCUCAGCACUGCAGCUCCCACUGCCACUGCCCGCUGUGAGUCACCUCCCCCUCUCCCUUUUUUAAACCAAACGGCAAGGCCAUAUUGCAGUUAUCCAUAAAUGGAAAAGCAAGAAGCCACCAAUACCUGUUUGAGAAGAUGGCAUUUUAAUUAGCACACUCCGGCUGCCAUAAACCCGGGCUCCUGCCCCACCUCUCCCCCCGCCCCCUCCUCCCCCCUCCCCCGCCGUGCCCUCUCUCAACCUCCCCGCUCACCCCCAUCUAUGUAAAAAAGCCAUAAAGCCUCUCUCCAAUCGCUUUCUCGGAGGGAGUUUUUGCAACCCCCACAACACAGGUUGAUUGGAAAGGUCUCUCUCCCGGAUAACAACAAUUCAAUGUGCCUUGACAUUUUAAUAGCCUGCCGUCCUGGUGAACACAAUCGAGCAAGGCAGUGAAGCAAACAUCAUUAGGUGGCUGGACUCAGACACAUCACGCUCCAGUUUGGGUUCCAAGGUGCUUCUCUCUGGAUUUUCACCUGCCUUGCCAAAAAUGAUUGAUUACGCUGGGCCAACUGGGUGUCCGGCAAUACCCAACAAAUGACUUUGGCCCCUAACAGCAGGUCUUGGCCAGACAGAAAUCAAUAUUUCACCAUUAAAAUCUAUCAAAGAAGAGUUAAGGCACCAUCUGUCCCUGCCGCCUCUCUAUGGUGUGUGAACAUUAAAUCCGACACUUGUACUACAUGGGUAAUCAAUAUAUAGUGGUUCACAGAUCAUUUGUGGUUCCCUUUUAGCAGUGAUGGAUGUCUGGAAUCGUUGUGAUUCAUUUUGUCAGACCAUUAAACAAGAUUCUGUCCAGUUCCUUCCUGA